rnacentral:rRNA from 1 species
AUGGCCGGCACACAAUCGGUGUCUCAUUCAUCUACUGCCGCAGCAAUGCUCUCCGGUUCAGCGACGGCCACACCAGCAGGGGCAGGAAGCUCAGCGCCACCUUCAGCCCAAGUCUUGUCUGAUUUGUUCGACGCUCUGGCAACAUUGAUGUCCGCGGAGGUAGACGCAGCAGCCAAGGAUCAGCACGAUGCGGAGAUUGUAAAGGUGAAAGAUCAGAUAGCCCAGACUAAAGCGGACCUGGCAACAGAGAAUGCCAGGAUGGCUACGGAGCGGGCCGAGUUGGAAGCACAGGCUUACCGGAUUAGAUUGGAUCAGAAUGCUUCAGAGGAAGUCAUGAGAAGCAUAAUCUUUUCAACACGCCAGGCGCAGGAGCUGGUAACCAGCCCACGCUAA